CAGCUUUCACAGCUCACUUCAUUCAUAGCUAUACGACUUAAGUCUCUUACUUAGCAUCCUCUGGUACCUCUGUAAGAUAAUAAGCUGUAGAGAAGUUACUGAUUUGUAAGAGAGUAAGAAUGGCCAGCUAUAUGGUGCAGUUGUAAUGCUGGAGAAACUGGGGCAAGAUAGAGAUUAGAGAAUAUUUAAUAAUUAAUUUGAAAGGGGGAGAUUUACUGGGACCAGAUGGAUCCAAGGUUUGGUCCCCAGGACUGAAUGAGACUAUCAUCUCCAUGAAUCCAGUGAACAAUAGUCAUUGAAGUUCAGUGGAAUAUAUAAAAUGUUCAUUAAGGACUAGCACCUCUGGUGUCCGAGGACUUCUCAUCCACCUUUGGUAAUCACCUGUCACUCAAAUACCUCAAUGAAUGUCCAAAGCAGGAUUAUGCCUUGUCAAGGAACUUCUGUUCUUGGGACAGCUGCCUGCCCGGUCUCCUGCCUGCUGUGAAGAUAUUCUCUUCUCAGCAAUAACCUUUGUUCUUUCUCUGCCAGGACCUUGUCACUAAAGAAGUCUGACUUCUCAGUGCCAAUAAAACUUCCUUUUUUGCCACUAAUUUUUCGGGUUUGUGAAUUCUUUCACAUUCAAUCUGUGGCGACCAGAAGGGGAUUCUCACACCAUAACUCUCUGCACUGCCACUAACCGCAUCAACCUUACAUCACCCCUAAAACUGAAUGCACUCUGAUUCAGUGACACUGGGGUCCUUGCCUUGACACAAGAAAGGACACUUCAAUUCUUGGUUCUGGUCAUUUUCUCCAGUUGCCUUUCACGCCUGAAAGCCCUUUCUCCCCCCACCCCCAACUUCCU